rnacentral:rRNA from 1 species
UACGUAGGACCCAAGCGUUAUCCGGAGUGACUGGGCGUAAAGAGUUGCGUAGGUGGUUAGUAAAGCGAAUAGUGAAACCUGGUGGCUCAACCAUACAGACUAUUAUUCGAACUCACUAACUCGAGAGUAGCAGAGGUAACUGGAAUUUCUAGUGUAGGAGUGAAAUCCGUAGAUAUUAGAAGGAACACCAAUGGCGUAGGCAGGUUACUGGGCUAUUUCUGACACUGAGGCACGAAAGCGUGGGGAGCGAACCGG